UACGUAGGGGGCGAGCGUUGUCCGGAGUUACUGGGCGUAAAGCGCUUGUAGGCGGUCCACCAAGUUUGGGGUGACAGUUGCCGACUUAAUCGGCAAAGUGCCUCAAAGACUGGCGGACUUGAGGGCCACAGAGGGACAUGGAACUCCAGGUGUAGUGGUGAAAUGCGUAGAUAUCUGGAAGAACACCAAAGGCGAAGGCAGUGUCCUGGGUGGUCGCUGACGCUGAGAGGCGAAAGCCAGGAGAGCGAACGGG
rnacentral:rRNA from 1 species